AAAGAAAUGGCUGCCGUGACAGCGGAAAGAGACUCGAUCGCUCGUCGGGAGUAGAACUGAAGCGAGAGCGUGAAUGAAUCGAGGUUUUUCACCAAUUCUGGAGUCCUGUAAGUGUGUGGAACAGAGAUAUGGAGAAGGUCCAGUCUGCAGCCCUGCUGUCCACUUACCGAGGAAUGGAGAUGAUGUGGUGUGUGUGUGAGGGGUUAUAAAAGCACGCCUGAGGAGCGACAGAUGACAAAGAACCAAGUCUCUUCUUUUGUACUCCAGCUGAAAUAAAGUACAUGUCGCUAAUCA